AUACCAAGCUUGCUUGGUUGAUUAGUGGCGAACGGGUGAGUAACACGUGAGUAACCUGCCCCUUACUUUCCUGGAUAACUGCUCGAAAGGGUAGCUAGUACGGGAUAUUCUGACCAUCCUGCAUGGGUUGGUUUGGAAAGGUUGUUUUUCUGGUAAGGGAUGGGCUCGCGGCCUAUCAGCUUGUUGGUGGGGUGAUGGCCUACCAAGGCUUUGACGGGUAGCCGGCCUGAGAGGGUGGACGGUCACACUGGGACUGAGAUACGGCCCAGACUCCUACGGGAGGCAGCAGUGGGGAAUAUUGCACAAUGGGCGCAAGCCUGAUGCAGCGACGCCGCGUGAGGGAUGAAGGCCUUCGGGUUGUAAACCUCUUUCGUCAGGGAACAAGGCACUGCUUUGGUGGUGUUGAGGGUACCUGGAUAAGAAGCGCCGGCUAACUACGUGCCAGCAGCCGCGGUAAUACGUAGGGCGCAAGCGUUGUCCGGAAUUAUUGGGCGUAAAGAGCUCGUAGGCGGCUGGUCGCGUCUGUCGUGAAAACUUCCGGCUCAACGGGGGCUUGCGGUGGGUACGGGCCGGCUAGAGUGCGGUAGGGGUAACUGGAACUCCUGGUGUAGCGGUGGAAUGCGCAGAUAUCAGGAAGAACACCGAUGGCGAAGGCGGGUUACUGGGCCGUUACUGACGCUGAGGAGCGAAAGCGUGGGGAGCGAACAGGAUUAGAUACCCUGGUAGUCCACGCCGUAAACGUUGGGCACUAGGUGUGAGGCUCCUUUCCGGGGGUUUUGCGCCGUAGCUAACGCAUUAAG
rnacentral:rRNA from 1 species